rnacentral:sRNA from 1 species
UUAAGUCUCUUUUCAUGGCAAGUGGUGAUAUCUACCUCAAUGAGGUACGUAGUACAAGAAGAUUCAUACGAUGAUCUUGAAACAGUUUUCUGAGCCAUUUGUCGAUUUAACGCUAUCAUUUCACUCUUAUCAUGAGAAACUCGGUUACUGACCCUGUCAGAUUAAACCCUGUCGCUUUGCUCGAAAGAAGCCGCCAUACCCUGAUUCCGCCGUUCUAGGCAGGUUUAUCCCUGGAUUCUAAUAGAAGUUUUUCAAGUCUAUCUAACUGCUUUCUCAUGAUUUCCAUCUCCUGAUGGACGGGGCUCUCAGUGAGUGCAGGACUAAUAAUUUCUCGAUAUCUCUCCGUUGUCGUCACCCUCGCAGGUCGGAUCCUCGAUAACAGGAUCCCCUUCCUCAUCGGGCGGAGGCUCGUUGAAGUAUGCACUGAUGCUACGAUUCUUUGAAUGGGAUAUGUUGGUUUCGAAGAGCACAAUAAACGUAAGAGGUACAAAGAACAAAAUAGUCAUGGUGUAGCGAUUAAGCGCUAUGUACAUAUCCCUGGGAAGUAUCCAUCUGUAUUGGGUCAGCCUAUUAACAUGCAGUAUUAUAGUCAAACUUCAUUUAAGCUUACUCGAACGGCGCAAUCAAGAAGGCUUCAAUGAGGUUGAAUGGUGCUGAGUAAACGUAUGAGUCUGGAGCACGGAUCAAGUCUAUAGUUUUAUGGGCAAAGAAAACCAGGUAUUCGUCCGUCUCAUUAUCGGUCACGUCGGAAUAGGCGGAUCCGAACAGAGCAAUUAAAACGUUGACAAGGAUGAUGGUUGCUACGAAGUUCCAUCCGUAGAAAAUGAUAAGUCCGAAAGGAUAGCCGAAUCGUUCCGAGGGCGAAUCAAAGUCGGGGGCUCUGCCAAGCCAUAUAUCAACAAUGCAUAUAGCCAGAAAGAAUACACUUACCCCAGAAGAGCCUGAAUGAGGUUAUUGAUAACAAUACCUCGGCCCCCAGAUUCUCCAUCUGCAGCGUCCAGGGCAUAUAACGACUGUUAAUAAUGAAGUUAGGACCAUUUUCCAUAGGGACAGAUAAUCGGAGGGACAUGUUCACCUGUACAAACCCAAUGCCCAUGAUAGCAAGUCUUCCCCACAACGAUUAGGGAGAAGUUAUCAGCAAUGAUUCGUGGAUUGAUAUAUCUAUAUACUGACAGCAUCCUGGCGACUACAACUUGAAGUGUCCCGACCUGUGUUGCGUCAGCCAAAGCAGUAGGAGAAAUAAUCUACACUUUCUAUCUUGAAGCCAUCGAAUACAGUCAACUGUCAUAUGAGAAGCUAUGAGUAUUGCGUUUGUCCUUUUUUCUUGCUUUAUAUUUACCAGUUUCAUCCAGAUGAAGGGCGCCACGCAACUGAGAACUUGGAAGCUCCGGAAAUGCAAAAGCUGAGCCUGAUCGUCUUUACUUGCAUCAAGGCUGAGGCCGGCGACCCGAAGACCAAAAGCUGUGAGAAGAAGACAGUCGGUAAUCAAGUUGACAAUGGUCCAGAAGCCCUAUUU